AUACGGAGGAUCCGAGCGUUAUCCGGAUUUAUUGGGUUUAAAGGGAGCGUAGGCGGACGCUUAAGUCAGUUGUGAAAGUUUGCGGCUCAACCGUAAAAUUGCAGUUGAUACUGGGUGUCUUGAGUACAGUAGAGGCAGGCGGAAUUCGUGGUGUAGCGGUGAAAUGCUUAGAUAUCACGAAGAACUCCGAUCGCGAAGGCAGCUCACCGGGCCGGAACUGACACUGAUGCUCGAAAGUGCGGGUAUCAAACAGGAUUAGAUACCCUGGUAGUCCGCACAGUAAACGAUGAAUACUCGCUGUUUGCGAUACACUGUAAGCGGCCAAGCGAAAGCGUUAAGUAUUCCACCUGGGGAGUACGCCGGCAACGGUGAAACUCAAAUGAAUUGGCGGGG
rnacentral:rRNA from 1 species